GGGACACGUUUGGAAUCAGCCCCUCAGGACAGGCCCUCGGACUGAUACCGGGCACCUCCCAGUGGCCCUUCUGGUGUGCUGGGUAUCUGCCAGUUUUCUGAGCUUGUAGACUCACUAGCGACGUACACCAAAUGAAGAGCAUCUUCAGGUUCUGCCUUCUCCCUGUCCAGCCCACCAAACCCAGGCUGUCCGUGAGAGGUGAGGACGCACAAAUGCUGUAGGACUGAGACAAAAAUGUUUUGUGCACGGAUGGAAAGCUGAAGAAGAGAUAAAUGAGUUAAUGGAAUUCUUGGAAGCAUUCAGACCAAAUGCUGCAGGACUAUGAUCUAUAAAUAUUAAGCGGCGAAAGCUUCCCAGAACUUCUCCUGCAAGGACCUGCUGAUGGAGAUUUUGUGAAGAGGCUUCAGAGAGGAGCAGUGGCAGCAGCGUGACCCCACAGGUGCCAGCUCAGCCGUUG